rnacentral:pre_miRNA from 11 species
GACCACACGGGAUAAUAGAUUAUCCCGUGUGUUCGGGUUAUACGGACCGCACAGGAUUAUCUAUUAUCCUGUGCGGUC